GGGGAGCGGACGGUCUUCGGCUUCGCCUUGGCCUUAGCCGCCGGCGACUUCUUCGCCUUGGCGACCAGCUUCUUCUUCUCCGGCGCCUUGCGCUUCGUGCCGGCGGCGGCGGCGGUCUUCUUGGGCUUCGCGUCCGCCUUCUUCUUGGGUUUGGCGCCGUCCUUGGCAGGCUUCACCGCGGCCUUGGCGGCUGCAGGCUUGGCGGGCUUCACCGCGGCCUUGGCGGCCGAAGGCUUGGCGGGCUUGGCCUUGGUGGAGUCCUUCUUGGCAGCGUCGGAGAGCUUGUAGGAUGCCUUGACCUUGACGAGCUUGCCCUUGGAGGCGGACGCGCGGAGCUGGACGGAG
rnacentral:lncRNA from 1 species